ACUAGGAGCAAAAAAGACCAAAAACCUAAACACCAAGAAGAAAGAAGAAACAACAUUGGAAGAUCAGAAGACAUAACAUUAACAUUUAAACACAAGCACAAAAGAUACUACAGCAUUGCCGAAUGGGUUCAGAGCUUUUGAUAAAAUAUGAGACCACGCUCGGUAGAAAUCGGCUUGCCCAUAACGCUACUCCAAAAGAUUGACACCGACCACACACAGCUUUGCAUAGACCGGCUGAAGGAAUCAAGCCGCCAACUACCACUGGUAAAGGAGCUUGAGACCCGAGCUAAGAACCUCUACUUGUAUCAAGCACACUAGAGCGCCAAUCUGGCUUGACGUUCCAGGACCACCAAAGUCACACUUAUGCUUGGCUCCAGAACAUAGUGCGAGCAGAUGCAAGAAGACAGGGAGCGAUGAUAGUCACAUCCUGAGCCGCUCGCCCAAACCUACAAUAUAGAGAUCGAUCAGCCCUCCAUUGGUGACCAAGCGACCAGACAAUGGAGCUGUGAUGGCCAAUCAGCACAUGAGUCUCCUUCAAGAAAAUAGAGCUUCGAGACUCAAAUGCCCUGCAAGGUAACUAAGAUUCUCUCUGUUUCCUAAAUAUUUGGAAUUAUGAGGUUUUAUACAUAUUGAGUUUAUGGUGCAUUGUUUCUUGUAAUAUACUCUUUAUCUUCAUUCAACAUGCUGUGGUUUCCUUAAGAAAGACACUCGACCUCAUAAUUAACUGAUUCCACUGUGCAUUUGACAGGCUAUCGAAUGGAUGAAGAGGAUCCUGAUUCCAAGAGUUUGCAAAUCCAGUUUUCCAGAAGCCCAGGUCUAAGACCAGGGGCAACGUGAAGAAAGGAGGUGAUGAGUUGAGAUACUUUUGAGGCAAAUCAACCAAAAUAGUAACUUAUUGUUUUCUCUAGAGCCUAAUAUUCAGAUCCUUAGUAGCACUCACUCAAAGCUAUAGAGAUGUAUGAAUAGACACAAAAGUCCAGGAGUUGAGUUUAUUGGAAUCUAAACUUAGACACUGU